rnacentral:lncRNA from 1 species
GCGGAACAGCCGCUGCCCCGGCCCGACGCGCUCACCCUCCAGGGCCUCGAAGAUCGCCUGCGCCAUCUUGGAGCUGCCGCCGCCCGGGGAGUCGGAGCGGGGCUACGCAAGCAUUGUGAGAACCGCGGCGGGGUCGGGGCCGCCAGGGGGCGCCCAGGAGCCGACGCCGAAGCCCCUGCCCCGGAAACAGCUUGCCCCGCUGUCCGGCCGGAGACCCAGUCCCCUAGUAGUUCCAAUUCUACACAGACAUACGUCCGGCGCUCGCACAUCGCCUCCCAACGCGGACACCGACCCCAGUUCUUCAACACGCACCCCAUGAUCGCUGCACACAGUCUUCUUCAAGGUUGCAACACCAACCCACCUCACCGAGAUUGUCUGUUACAUGGACACCCCACACCUUGCAACUGUGCCACGCUGAUUGGAAAGCAGCCUUCUCGAAGGACUCCUAUCUCUGGUCUUAAUUCCUCAGUUUAUGUUAGAUUCCCUCAGUGCUCUUCUUAA